UAGUCAUAUGCUUGUCUCAAAGAUUAAGCCAUGCAUGUCUAAGUAUAAGCAACUUUAUACUGUGAAACUGCGAAUGGCUCAUUAAAUCAGUUAUAGUUUAUUUGAUUAUAUUACCUACUUGGAUAACCGUGGUAAUUCUAGAGCUAAUACAUGCUAAAAAUCCCGACUUCUGGAAGGGAUGUAUUUAUUAGAUAAAAAACCAACAGGGGUUUCUGCCCCUUUUUUUGGUGAUUCAUAAUAACUUUUCGAAUCGCAUGGCCUUGAGCUGGCGAUGUUU
rnacentral:rRNA from 1 species